AGAGUUUGAUCCUGGCUCAGAUUGAACGCUGGCGGCAUGCCUUACACAUGCAAGUCGAACGGUAACGCGGGGGCAACCCUGGCGACGAGUGGCGAACGGGUGAGUAAUACAUCGGAACAUAUCCAGUAGCGGGGGAUAACCUAUCGAAAGAUGGACUAAUACCGCAUACGAUCUACGGAUGAAAGCAGGGGACCGCAAGGCCUUGCACUAUUGGAGUGGCCGAUGUCGGAUUAGCUAGUUGGUGGGGUAAAAGCUUACCAAGGCGACGAUCCGUAGCUGGUCUGAGAGGACGAUCAGCCACACUGGAACUGAGACACGGUCCAGACUCCUACGGGAGGCAGCAGUGGGGAAUUUUGGACGAUGGGCGCAAGCCUGAUCCAGCCAUGCCGCGUGAGUGAAGAAGGCCUUCGGGUUGUAAAGCUCUUUCGGUGAAGACGAAACGGUUCAUGCUAAUAACGUGAACUAAUGACGGUACUCACAGAAGAAGCACCGGCUAACUACGUGCCAGCAGCCGCGGUAAUACGUAGGGUGCAGGCGUUAAUCGGAAUUACUGGGCGUAAAGCGUGCGCAGGCGGUUUGCUAAGACAGGUGUGAAAUCCCCGGGCUUAACCUGGGAAUUGCGCUUGUAACUGGCAAGCUAGAGUGUGGCAGAGGGGGGUGGAAUUCCACGUGUAGCAGUGAAAUGCGUAGAUAUGUGGAGGAACACCGAUGGCGAAGGCAGCCCCCUGGGUUAACACUGACGCUCAUGCACGAAAGCGUGGGGAGCAAACAGGAUUAGAUACCCUGGUAGUCCACGCCCUAAACUAUGUCAACUAGUUGUCGGGGAAGAAAUUCCUUGGUAACGAAGCUAACGCGUGAAGUUGACCGCCUGGGGAGUACGGCCGCAAGGUUAAAACUCAAAGGAAUUGACGGGGACCCGCACAAGCGGUGGAUUAUGGAUUAAUUCGAUGCAACGCGAAAAACCUUACCUACCCUUGACAUGCUAGGAAGCCCGCAGAGAUGUGGGUGUGCCCGAAAGGGAACCUAGACACAGGUGCUGCAUGGCUGUCGUCAGCUCGUGUCGUGAGAUGUUGGGUUAAGUCCCGCAACGAGCGCAACCCUUGCCAUUAGUUGCUACAUUCAGUUGGGCACUCUAAUGGGACCGCCGGUGACAAACCGGAGGAAGGUGGGGAUGACGUCAAGUCCUCAUGGCCCUUAUGGGUAGGGCUUCACACGUAAUACAAUGGUCGGUACAGAGGGCUGCCAACCCGCAAGGGGGAGCUAAUCCCAGAAAGCCGAUCGUAGUCCGGAUUGUAGUCUGCAACUCGACUGCAUGAAGCCGGAAUCGCUAGUAAUCGCGGAUCAGCAUGUCGCGGUGAAUACGUUCCCGGGUCUUGUACACACCGCCCGUCACACCAUGGGAGUGGGUUCCACCAGAAGUAGUUAGCCUAACCGCAAGGAGGGCGAUUACCACGGUGAGAUUCAUGACUGGGGUGAAGUCGUAACAAGGUA
rnacentral:rRNA from 1 species